UCAACUAGGAGGGUUUCAUUUUAUCCAACCAUGUUCACUAUACCAAGCAAUGAAGUCAAGAAUGGGUAGUGAGCUCGAUAUGGAUUGGAUUCGAUGCCCGAUAAGAUUGUGGAUGCCAGUUUGCCGGCCAAUGGUUGAGUGGUAUGUGAUGCGCACAAUCAAUGUCAGAUGAACCUCCAGGUGGAUUGCAUGGAUGGUUGUAGCUUGAUAUGAUCUCAGGAUGGCCAAUAAGUAAAGAUGUAAUUAACAGUCCAGGGCAGCUGGUAAGAAAGAGCUAAUAGCUUGUCCGAGAAUCACACAACUGGAUUGUUAUGGACUCUCAUCAACUUCUCUAUAUAAACCAUGUCCGGGGACUCCAGUCAAAUCGUACAUCAUGGAGACCAGUGCAACCUUAGCCGAGCAAUCUCUGUAAGCGCCAAUUUUAUGCUAGUUUCAUCAGGUCGGAUUUCGGACGGUAAUAGAGCUUUUAUAUGGUAAGUAGAUCGCCCACUUGUAGGUUAAAAUAUAAACACAAUGGCGGUAUAAAAAUGAAUGGCAAAAAUAUCAACAUGGGGUCAGGGUUUGUUGGAACUUGUAACCAUGUACGUAAAUAUCGCUCAUGAUGGCCUGGCUUUCUUGAACGAAAACAUGCUUGGAUUUGGCUGAGGUGCAGUUGGUCGAAGUCCUUUUAAGGACUCAUGCUUGGUUUUGCUUUCAAGUAAAUUCAAUUUGAUUUUUAUGUAUAUGUCUGCUACGUUCCACUGAGACUCCUACUAUCUCCCAUAAAUAUAUAUUUGCAAGAACUACAAGGAUCAUAUUGAGGUACUCCAUUAUUGUCAAAUUUCAUUGCACCCCGACCUUUCUCUAUUAAAAGGAGGAGUAUAGCACGGAAUAUCAUCAAAUUAUUUAGGCUGGGCGAAGGAACCGGGUAGAAGAGGCCGAACUAUUUGUUAUAAUCAUGGUUGUCUGUGUAUAGGCUUUUUACAAGGUCAUGCAGCAGGCUUUCUAUGGAGAACACAAUGUCCAUAUUCUACACCUGCUAUUGUGCAAUACAUGAACUCCUAUGAUUUUGUCAAACUGUACCUCUCUAUUAUGACAUCAAACUGCCUCCAUGGGACAAAUGCUUGGUGGCUCGAACCGAUUCAGUGUAUUAAUUCUUGGAGCCAACAUCUCUUCGUGUCGGAAAUCUUCACAUGCCAUUUGACCUGCAGCACAUGUUAGCUCAAAAGUUACAACAUUAUUGGUUUAUCAAUCAUUGUUUGGGCAUGAAAUGUGGAUGAUUCAAAAAGAUGAAAUCGUGGUCAACUUUGAUCAAGGAGGAUGUAGAUGAGACUUCUUGUAUAAAAAAUUGUUACUGCUGCAAAUGAAUUUCUUAGAAAAAUGAUUUUCUAAGUAGGCAACAAAACAAUGUUUCAGGGUUAUGGGGAAGGAUCUUAGGGUCCAUUGAUGCCUCAAGUAACCGUCUAAAUAAAAUAUUUAACUAUCAAAAUGUUAUUAAGA